rnacentral:rRNA from 1 species
UACGUAGGGGGCUAGCGUUAUCCGGAAUUACUGGGCGUAAAGCGCGCGCAGGCGGUCUUCCAAGUCAGUGGUGAAAGCCCGGAGCUCAACUCCGGAACUGCCAUUGAAACUGUUGGACUUGAGUACGAGAGAGGUGAGUGGAAUUCCCAGUGUAGAGGUGAAAUUCGUAGAUACUGGGAAGAACACCGGUGGCGAAGGCGGCUCACUGGCUCGUAACUGACGCUCAGGCGCGACAGCGUGGGGAUCAAACAGG